rnacentral:rRNA from 1 species
ACGAACGCUGGCGGCGUGCCUAAUACAUGCAAGUAGAACGCUGAAGAGAGGAGCUUGCUCUUCUUGGAUGAGUUGCGAACGGGUGAGUAACGCGUAGGUAACCUGCCUUGUAGCGGGGGAUAACUAUUGGAAACGAUAGCUAAUACCGCAUAACAAUGGAUGACACAUGUCAUUUAUUUGAAAGGGGCAAUUGCUCCACUACAAGAUGGACCUGCGUUGUAUUAGCUAGUAGGUGAGGUAAUGGCUCACCUAGGCGACGAUACAUAGCCGACCUGAGAGGGUGAUCGGCCACACUGGGACUGAGACACGGCCCAGACUCCUACGGGAGGCAGCAGUAGGGAAUCUUCGGCAAUGGGGGCAACCCUGACCGAGCAACGCCGCGUGAGUGAAGAAGGUUUUCGGAUCGUAAAGCUCUGUUGUAAGUCAGGAACGGGUGUGAGAGUGGAAAGUUCACACUGUGACGGUAGCUUACCAGAAAGGGACGGCUAACUACGUG